GCCCUUCCUCUCUACUCUAUUCUGACACUAGCUUCAGACUGCUAGCACCUUUUCCUCUACUCCAUGUGUGUGUGUCCCUCCACAGGUCACAAACCAAGCAGGUGGGGACAGCACCUGGCCCUGAAUGGAAUUAGCCCUUUAAUUACAGCAGAACGUAACCCACUCGGCUCCACAUUUCAGGAAGGAAACGUGCUGAAUGACUCUGCUCACCUAAUGAAUGCCACAGAUCCAGAAUUCCGUUACAGGAGUGAGAACGGGACAUGUCUGUUUAGAAGGACUUAUCGGGUUGUGAUGGUUGGGACGAUGACAAAAAAAAAAGAAAAGAAAUAAAUGUUGUACCAUUGAUGUGAUGCAAUCCAAAACACACCACAAAACCUGCGGCAAACACCAAGCGACCGCUGAGCAGAUUCUCAUCUACCGUCCCAAACGAGUGGCGCCACCUCCAAAUGUAAAAGCAGACCUCAAGAAACUGGCUUACAAGAAGCAGCGGCAGCCUCCUCCCUGACACGCCUUCCCCGGCAAGGCACAUUUUGUUUUCCUUGGUGUCUUGUAGAGCCCUGUGUACAUUUACAGCACUCUAUAAAUAAAAAAUAAUAGCAGGG